UACCUCAUCGACCGGAAGGGAUUCCUUCCGGUCGAUGGGGUGUUUUACCUCAUCGACCGGAAGGAAUCCCUUCCGGCCGAUGAGGGU
rnacentral:miRNA from 1 species